rnacentral:rRNA from 1 species
GUGUCAGCAGCCGCGGUAAUACAGAGGUGGCAAGUGUUGUUCGGAUUUACUGGGCGUAAAGGGUCCGCAGGCGGCCUUGUGUGUCAGAUGUGAAAGCCCACGGCUCAACCGUGGAAUUGCAUUUGAAACUACAGGGCUAGAGUACGGGAGAGGAGAGGGGAAUUCAUGGUGUAGCGGUGAAAUGCGUAGAUAUCAUGAAGAACACCGGUGGCGAAAGCGCCUCUCUGGACCGAUACUGACGCUCAUGGACGAAAGCCAGGGGAGCAAAGAGGAUUAGAAACCCCUGUAGUCC